AAAGUCGUAACAAGGUCUCCGUUGGUGAACCAGCGGAGGGAUCAUUACCGAGUUUACAACUCCCAAACCCACUGUGAACAUACCUUCUGUUGCUUCGGCGGGGCCCCGUCCGGACACACGUCCGGAUCCCGCCGGAGGUCUCACACUCUCUGUUUUAUGCAAGAUUUUCUGAGUGGCGUAAGCAAAAAUAAAUCAAAACUUUCAACAACGGAUCUCUUGGUUCUG
rnacentral:misc_RNA from 1 species